rnacentral:lncRNA from 1 species
AUGGCCAAUGGCUGGGAGAGGAGCAAGGAGCCUUCCAAAGGAACGGGAUUUGUUACACUGCCCAAAGCACAUCGUCGCCGUGCUCAAUACUUCAAGGGCUCAGAUUUGCAAUACUUCAGUUCCUUUAAGCGGGGGAAGAACACUCGAGGACAGGGCCUCGACUUGCGACCCUCCUGCCUCAAGCUGGGAUUACAAGGAUGUGCUACCACACCUGGCAGGUGCACAUUUGACGGGGAAAUCCCAGACAGGAUUUUGAGGAAUCACAACACAAUCCCACGAACUCAGCAAAGGUUAAGACUCAGCGGUACGCUGAGGCACACUGGCCACCAUUGAUUCCACUUAGGUCUUUGUUUUCCCAGCUUCACUCUCCAGUCCAGUCUCCACCAGUGUGCCGCCGCGGGCCGCCCCGCCCGCCCCCCGGUCACAGUAUCGCUCUUUGACUCAAUUUAAAAGUUGUCAGGAUGGGCGUGAUGAAGCACGACUGUAAUCCUGGCUCCCUGAGAGGCCGAGGCAGGAGGAUCAUGAGCUCAAGGCCAUCCUGGACAUUUACCAAGACCGUGUCACAAAAUAAAAAAUAACAAAGCCGGGAUAUAAUUCAAUGAUAGCACCCUGCGUUCCAUCCCCAGCACUACAAAAAAAAAAUUGUUGUCUGAAAACAUAACUGUCUACUGAAAUC